GGCGGCUGCUAGCUGGCCCUCCUUCCUGAUGCGGAUCCUUCACCCCAUCACACAGCCAGCUUGGAGGUGGGCCAUGUAGGACCUCGGUCUCAAACCACUCCCAGGCCAAUCAUCUGGCCUCAAGAAGUAUCUGCUGUGGAGUAUUACCACCGAAAAACACCUACCGUCCUCUCAGCCAUCUUCCAAGGUGGUUUCAACAUGGGGCAUCUGCAAAGAAGCUUCGGUCCUCGUUUCUCCAUCUGGGAGCAGCCCUGGCUACAUCAGUGCCUCCUAUUAAAACCAGCCUAAUGAAGGAUGCUCGGGGCUUGAAAGGGCCGGGGCGCUGCUUGUCCUGCCGCCUGCCGGGCCUUUUGUGCUGUAUAGAGUUGUCUCUCUUGUCGGAGCCAGGAACCAGACAGCUGGAAAACAGGCUUCAAUUCAGCCAUCAAACUGAAUAUUGCGUGAAGAGCAGGGAAGGAAGAGUGCUUCUGAAAAGAAAAGUAGAACAAGAGGAAAAGCAUGACGUGGUGGGCUUGGGGAUUCCUUUAAAGAGUGACUAUACUGAGGGAUGAAUGGUCAGUAAAGCACCUCUCUUGCUGGGUAUGGCUCAGUCUUAAGUCUUGUGUUCUGGUCCAUUUACUUCCUGCUGCUCCUGAAGAGUCAUCCCCCUUAAGAACCUGCUCUAGUGGCCGAAGUGAAUGAAUGCUGGUGUAGUCCCUCCCAGCAGCACAGGCAUGUGUACCCAGGCAUGCUCACACAUGCUCACACACAUAGACAUACACAUCACAUACACACACAUACACACAGUGUUACUGAUUAUUGUCAGCAUUUCAAGAAAAAAAAAUGAGUUCUCAUCUUCCCACUGUGCAGUGGUA
rnacentral:lncRNA from 1 species